rnacentral:rRNA from 1 species
UUAAGCGACUAAGCGUACACGGUGGAUGCCCUGGCAGUCAGAGGCGAUGAAGGACGUGCUAAUCUGCGAAAAGCGUCGGUAAGGUGAUAUGAACCGUUACAGCCGGCGAUGUCCGAAUGGGGAAACCCAGUGCAAUUCGUUGCACUAUCGUUAACUGAAUACAUAGGUUAACGAGGCGAACCGGGGGAACUGAAACAUCUAAGUACCCCGAGGAAAAGAAAUCAACCGAGAUUCCCCCAGUAGCGGCGAGCGAACGGGGAGCAGCCCAGAGUCUGAAUCAGCUUGUGUGUUAGUGGAACGGUCUGGAAAGUCCGACGGUACAGGGUGAUAGUCCCGUACACCAAAAUGCACAGGCUGUGAACUCGAAGAGUAGGGCGGGACACGUGGUAUCCUGUCUGAAUAUGGGGGGACCAUCCUCCAAGGCUAAAUACUCCUGACUGACCGAUAGUGAACCAGUACCGUGAGGGAAAGGCGAAAAGAACCCCGGCGAGGGGAGUGAAAAAGAACCUGAAACCGUGUACGUACAAGCAGUGGGAGCACCUUCGGGUGUGACUGCGUACCUUUUGUAUAAUGGGUCAGCGACUUAUAUUCUGUAGCAAGGUUAACCGUAUAGGGGAGCCGCAGGGAAACCGAGUCUUAACUGGGCGUUAAGUUGCAGGGUAUAGACCCGAAACCCGGUGAUCUAGCCAUGGGCAGGUUGAAGGUUGGGUAACACUAACUGGAGGACCGAACCGACUAAUGUUGAAAAAUUAGCGGAUGACUUGUGGCUGGGGGUGAAAGGCCAAUCAAACCGGGAGAUAGCUGGUUCUCCCCGAAAGCUAUUUAGGUAGCGCCUCGUGAACUCAUCUUCGGGGGUAGAGCACUGUUUCGGCUAGGGGGUCAUCCCGACUUACCAACCCGAUGCAAACUACGAAUACCGAAGAAUGUUAUCACGGGAGACACACGGCGGGUGCUAACGUCCGUCGUGAAGAGGGAAACAACCCAGACCGCCAGCUAAGGUCCCAAAGUCAUGGUUAAGUGGGAAACGAUGUGGGAAGGCACAGACAGCCAGGAUGUUGGCUUAGAAGCAGCCAUCAUUUAAAGAAAGCGUAAUAGCUCACUGGUCGAGUCGGCCUGCGCGGAAGAUGUAACGGGGCUAAACCAUGCACCGAAGCUGCGGCAGCGACACUAUGUGUUGUUGGGUAGGGGAGCGUUCUGUAAGCCUGCGAAGGUGUGCUGUGAGGCAUGCUGGAGGUAUCAGAAGUGCGAAUGCUGACAUAAGUAACGAUAAAGCGGGUGAAAAGCCCGCUCGCCGGAAGACCAAGGGUUCCUGUCCAACGUUAAUCGGGGCAGGGUGAGUCGACCCCUAAGGCGAGGCCGAAAGGCGUAGUCGAUGGGAAACAGGUUAAUAUUCCUGUACUUGGUGUUACUGCGAAGGGGGGACGGAGAAGGCUAUGUUAGCCGGGCGACGGUUGUCCCGGUUUAAGCAUGUAGGCUGAUUGUCCAGGCAAAUCCGGAUAAUCAAGGCUGAGGUGUGAUGACGAGGCACUACGGUGCUGAAGUAACAAAUGCCCUGCUUCCAGGAAAAGCCUCUAAGCAUCAGGUAACAUUAAAUCGUACCCCAAACCGACACAGGUGGUCAGGUAGAGAAUACCAAGGCGCUUGAGAGAACUCGGGUGAAGGAACUAGGCAAAAUGGUGCCGUAACUUCGGGAGAAGGCACGCUGGUGUGUAGGUGAAGUCCCUGCGGAUGGAGCUGAGACCAGUCGAAGAUACCAGCUGGCUGCAACUGUUUAUUAAAAACACAGCACUGUGCAAACACGAAAGUGGACGUAUACGGUGUGACGCCUGCCCGGUGCCGGAAGGUUAAUUGAUGGGGUUAUCCGUAAGGAGAAGCUCUUGAUCGAAGCCCCGGUAAACGGCGGCCGUAACUAUAACGGUCCUAAGGUAGCGAAAUUCCUUGUCGGGUAAGUUCCGACCUGCACGAAUGGCGUAAUGAUGGCCAGGCUGUCUCCACCCGAGACUCAGUGAAAUUGAACUCGCUGUGAAGAUGCAGUGUACCCGCGGCAAGACGGAAAGACCCCGUGAACCUUUACUAUAGCUUGACACUGAACAUUGAGCCUUGAUGUGUAGGAUAGGUGGGAGGCUUUGAAGCGUGGACGCCAGUCUGCGUGGAGCCAACCUUGAAAUACCACCCUUUAAUGUUUGAUGUUCUAACGUUGGCCCCUGACCGGGGUUGCGGACAGUGUCUGGUGGGUAGUUUGACUGGGGCGGUCUCCUCCCAAAGCGUAACGGAGGAGCACGAAGGUUAGCUAAUCCUGGUCGGACAUCAGGAGGUUAGUGCAAUGGCAUAAGCUAGCUUGACUGCGAGCGUGACGGCGCGAGCAGGUGCGAAAGCAGGUCAUAGUGAUCCGGUGGUUCUGAAUGGAAGGGCCAUCGCUCAACGGAUAAAAGGUACUCCGGGGAUAACAGGCUGAUACCGCCCAAGAGUUCAUAUCGACGGCGGUGUUUGGCACCUCGAUGUCGGCUCAUCACAUCCUGGGGCUGAAGUAGGUCCCAAGGGUAUGGCUGUUCGCCAUUUAAAGUGGUACGCGAGCUGGGUUUAGAACGUCGUGAGACAGUUCGGUCCCUAUCUGCCGUGGGCGCUGGAGAAUUGAGGGGGGCUGCUCCUAGUACGAGAGGACCGGAGUGGACGCAUCACUGGUGUUCGGGUUGUCAUGCCAAUGGCACUGCCCGGUAGCUAAAUGCGGAAGAGAUAAGUGCUGAAAGCAUCUAAGCACGAAACUUGCCCCGAGAUGAGUUCUCCCUGAGACUUUAAGUCUCCUGAAGGAACGUUAAAGACGAUGACGUUGAUAGGCCGGGUGUGUAAGCGCAGCGAUGCGUUGAGCUAACCGGUACUAAUGAACCGUGAGGCUUAACCUU